CCUACGGGUGGCUGCAGUGGGGAAUAUUGGACAAUGGGCGAAAGCCUGAUCCAGCCAUGCCGCGUGUGUGAAGAAGGCCUUCGGGUUGUAAAGCACUUUCAGUGGGGAAGAAAGCCUCGGGGCUAAUACCCUCGAGGAAGGACAUCACCCACAGAAGAAGCACCGGCUAACUCCGUGCCAGCAGCCGCGGUAAUACGGAGGGUGCGAGCGUUAAUCGGAAUUACUGGGCGUAAAGCGCGCGUAGGCGGUCUGAUAAGCCGGUUGUGAAAGCCCCGGGCUCAACCUGGGAACGGCAUCCGGAACUGUCAGGCUAGAGUGCAGGAGAGGAAGGUAGAAUUCCCGGUGUAGCGGUGAAAUGCGUAGAGAUCGGGAGGAAUACCAGUGGCGAAGGCGGCCUUCUGGACUGACACUGACGCUGAGGUGCGAAAGCGUGGGUAGCAAACAGGAUUAGAUACCCUAGUAGUC
rnacentral:rRNA from 1 species